ACGGCCGUACCAUGCUGAAUAUACCGGUUCUCGUUAGAUCACCGAAGUCAAGCAUCAUUGGGCGCGGUCAGUACCUGGGUGGGUGACCACCUGGGAACACCGCGUGCCGCUG
rnacentral:rRNA from 1 species